rnacentral:rRNA from 1 species
AUGAACGCUGGCGGCGUGCCUCAUCCCUUCCAAUCGAGCGAACAGACGAGGAGCUUGCUCCUCUGACGUUAGCGGCGGACGGGUGAGUAACACGUGGAUAACCUACCUAUAAGUCUGGGAUAACUUCGGGAAACCGGAGCUAAUACCGGACAAUAUCUUGCACCGCAUGGUUCCAUAGUGAAAGACGGCUUUGCUGUAACUUAUAGAUGGAUCCGCGCCGGAUUAGCUAGUUGGUAAGGUAACGGCUUACCAAGGCAACGAUGCGUAGCCGACCUGAGAGGGUGAUCGGCCACACUGGAACUGAGACACGGUCCAGACUCCUACGGGAGGCAGCAGUAGGGAAUCUUCCGCAAUGGGCGAAAGCCUGACGGAGCAACGCCGCGUGAGUGAUGAAGGUCUUCGGAUCGUAAAACUCUGUUAUUAGGGAAGAAGAAAUGUGUAAGUAACUAUGCACGUCUUGACGGUACCUAAUCAGAAAGCCACGGCUAACUACGUG